GACGAACGCUGGCGGCGUGCUUAACACAUGCAAGUCGAACGGAAAGGCCCUGCUUUUGUGGGGUGCUCGAGUGGCGAACGGGUGAGUAAUACGUGAGUAACCUGCCCUUGACUUUGGGAUAACUUCAGGAAACUGGGGCUAAUACCGGAUAGGAGCUCCUGCUGCAUGGUGGGGGUUGGAAAGUUUCGGCGGUUGGGGAUGGACUCGCGGCUUAUCAGCUUGUUGGUGGGGUAGUGGCUUACCAAGCCUUUGACGGGUAGCCGGCCUGGGAGGGGGACCGGCCUCCAUGGGACUGAGAUACGGCCCAGACUCCUACGGGAGGCAACAGGGGGGAAUAUUGCGCAGUGAGCGGAAGCCUGAUACAACAACCCCGCGUUCGGAAUGACGGCCUUCCAGUUAUGAACCGCUUUCGCCUGUGACGAAGCGUGAGUGACGGUAAUGGGUAAGAAAGCACCGGCUAACUACGUG
rnacentral:rRNA from 1 species